GGCUCAAUGGUCUAGUGGUAUGAUUCGCGCUUCGGGUUGAUGUGCGAGGUCUCGGGUUCGAUCCCCGAUUGAGCCC